AGCGGGAUGGCGCAGUUCGGUAGCGUGCGGGGCUCAUAACCCUGAGGUCGCGGGUUCGAAUCCCGCUCCCGCCA
rnacentral:tRNA from 1 species